UUAGAAGAAAAACUUCCAGAGUAAAGUGUGUGUGUGUGUAUUGUAUGCGACACCAAGAAGGAAGAAGGAGAGUUGAUUUUUAUCUCUAAAAAAAAUUAUGGAAAUCUUGAUGAAAAAGACAUUAGUAGCAAUGCCCACUUGAUUGUUAAAUCUCCAGGAACACAAGUGAUUAAGAUUGAAGAUAAGAAAGGGGCACCGCUAUCAUCGUCUUUAAUUGACAAAGUAUAAUGGCUUGAAAGAAUAAGAACCAUGUCAAGAUGGACCAACUCAUGGGAAGCAAACGGGUCAAAGAGGAGGCAAAGAAACUAGCAUAAACAUGGCGAGCACAAGGUAAGUGAUUUCCAUAAUCACUUCUUAGUUUGUUUAAGUAAUAUAAUGUUUAAUUAUUAAGUUCAUAUGAAGUUGAGGUCAAAUCAAUAGAUUAUUUUGAUAAAUGCAUGAACGGGUCGAAUAAUUCGUAGAUGAAUAAUAAGCCGAACACGUAUAAGUUAAGAAAUUCCUUAACUCGGAUGUUGGAUUUCAAGUUCACAUGAUAGAAUGUUAAUUUACAAUCAUGUAGGAAGAAACGUGACUCAAAACAGAUGAAAAAUGAGAGAGUUAUGUCCGUUUCGGUAAAAAUUAAUGGCUAGGAAAAGUGCAGAGCUGACACGGCCGGGUGGUGAGCUGACACGGCCGGGUGAAGGUUCUGUGAAAAAUAUUAUUUAUGUGAUUUACGCAUCGUAGGCUUCGAUAUAUUAUCCGUGGACUACGGUGGGCCUCCCAAACAUGAUUUCGAGUGUUCCCUUGACGAUUAUAAGUUGUACACCCAAGUCUAAGCCUCAUGUAAUUUAUAUAAGAGUAUGAUAGAUGUAUGUAAUGAUGACUAGGGAGGUGUGUUAAUUAAGUUAAGUGAAUAGGAUGGUAUGUAGGUAUGAAUAAUUGGAGUCAUGGUGAGUUUAAGUCGUAUAAAUUAGUAUGCGUGAUGUGUAUAAAAGAUAUAUAUAUAUAUAUAUACAUACGUAUGUACAUAAUUAUGCGAAAGGCGUACAUUGUGUUGUAGUUAAAUAGAUGCAUAUAAAUGGUUGGCGACCUUUUUACGAAGAUGUAGUACUUGAAUAUGUUGAGAUUACGGGUUUGCUAACCAAGUUAUUAUUGAGUAUGUUUGAAAGUGCAGGUUUAUGAAUGUCGGACUUUCGAAGUGUUGAUAUAGUAAUGAAAUGAUUGAAUGUUGGAAGGAUAAUCGGGUUGAAGUAACUUAAGCGGUUAGAAUAUGCUAUGGACGUUUUAGUUUAUACAAUAUUUUAUGUUUGGUCGUCACCACCUACUAACGGGUUAGUUGUAUGAGAGUAUAUGUCAUACCCAUUUAGUUGGGUAAUCGAAUGCGUAAGAGAAAUGAACGUACGUACACGAAUGGAACCAAAAUGACGGUUUUAUAAGCAAACAAGUAUAACGACUAACUUUUCAAAGCUUUGUUGUUGAAUGUAGGUAAAUCCUCAAUUUAGGCGACUUGGAGAAUCGGAGCGAGCGCGUGUUCAUGUUAUGUCAUACCAAACACUUCCGCUAGCUUGUUCAAAUGUUUUUGGUCCAAAAUUUGUUGUAUUGGUUCUUAGUAGUAUCUUGUUGAACGAAGUGUAGAAUUGUAUCUAGUUUGAUUAUGUUUAAAACAGGGGUAUGCUCGUUAUACGGACGGGUCAUGCCCAAAUUUUGUUAAAAUUAAUGCAUAUAUGU
rnacentral:lncRNA from 1 species